GCGCUCGCUUCGGCAGCACAUGUACCAAAACUGGAAUGAUACAAAGAAGAUGAGCACGGCCCCUGCGCAAGGAUGACACAAAAAGUCAUGAAGCAUCCCAUAUUUUU